rnacentral:rRNA from 1 species
UGGGGAAUCUUGGACAAUGGGCGAAAGCCUGAUCCAGCGACGCCGCGUGGGGGAUGAAGCCCUUCGGGGUGUAAACCCCUGUUGCGAGGGAGGAAUAAGGCCUGGAGGAAAUGCCAGGCCGAUGACUGUACCUCGCGAGGAAGCCCCGGCUAACUACGUGCCAGCAGCCGCGGUAAUACGUAGGGGGCGAGCGUUACCCGGAUUCACUGGGCGUAAAGCGGGUGUAGGCGGCUCGGUAAGUCGGGUGUGAAAUCCCACAGCUCAACUGUGGAAUUGCGCCCGAAACUGCUGAGCUUGGGGCCGGUAGAGGGAGACGGAACUGCCGGUGUAGGGGUGAAAUCCGUAGAUAUCGGCAGGAACGCCGGUGGGGAAGCCGGUCUCCUGGGCCGCGCCCGACGCUGAGACCCGAAAGCUAGGGGAGCAAACCGGAUUAGAUACCCGGGUAGUCCUAGCCGUAAACGAUGCCCACUAGGUGUGGGGGAUUAAUUCCUCCGUGCUGUAGCUAACGCGUUAAGUGGGCCGCCUGGGGAGUACGCCCGCAAGGGUGAAACUCAAAGGAAUUGGCGGGACCCCGCACAAGCGGUGGAGCGCGUGGUUUAAUUGGAUGCUGAGCCAAGAACCUUACCAGGUCUUGACAUGCAGGUGGUACCGACCCGAAAGGGGAGGGACCCCAUCCUUUUGGAUGGGGAGCCUGCACAGGUGGUGCACGGCCGUCGUCAGCUCGUGCCGUGAGGUGUUGGGUUAAGUCCCGCAACGAGCGCAACCCCUGCCCUUAGUUGCCAUCGGUUCGGCCGGGCACUCUAAGGGGACUGCCCGAACGAGCCGGGAGGAAGGAGGGGACGACGUCAGGUACUCGUGCCCUUUAUGCCCUGGGCUACACACGCGCUACAAUGGGUGGUACAAUGGGUUGCGACCCCGCGAGGGGGAGCCAUCCCUAAACCACCCUCAGUUCGGAUCGCAGCUGCACCGCUGCGUGAGCCGAUCGCUAGUAUCGCGAUCAGCCACGCCGCGGUGAAUACGUCCGGGU